rnacentral:rRNA from 1 species
AAUUUUGGACAAUGGGGGAAAGCCUGAUCCAGCGACGCCGCGUGGGUGAAGAAGGCCUGCGGGUUGUAAAGCCCUUUCGGUGGGGAAGAAAAGCUUCGACCUAAUACGUCGAGGUCUUGACGUAACCCACAGAAGAAGCACCGGCUAACUCUGUGCCAGCAGCCGCGGUAAUACAGAGGGUGCGAGCGUUAAUCGGAAUUACUGGGCGUACAGCGCGCGUAGGCGGCUUUGCAAGUCGGGUGUGAAAUCCCUGGGCUUAACCUAGGAACUGCACUCGAGACUGCAUUGCUAGAGUAUGGUAGAGGGAAGUGGAAUUUCCGGUGUAGCGGUGAAAUGCGUAGAUAUCGGAAGGAACACCAGUGGCGAAAGCGACUUCCUGGACCAAUACUGACGCUCAGGCGCGAAAGCGUGGGGAGCAAACAGG